AAGAGUUGCAAAACUCCCAACCAUUGUGAACGAACCUUUCUGCCCAGGCGAGCAGCGCUCUGUCGUUGCAAGCCGAAGGCAGUAAACUCUUAAUUCAGUGAAUGUCUGAGUUGCUUAUUUUAAUAAGUCA
rnacentral:misc_RNA from 1 species